AUUGAACGCUGGCGGCAUGCCUUACACAUGCAAGUCGAACGGUAACAGGUCUUCGGAUGCUGACGAGUGGCGAACGGGUGAGUAAUACAUCGGAACGUGCCUAGUAGUGGGGGCUAACUACUCGAAAGAGUGGCUAAUACCGCAUGAGAUCUACGGAUGAAAGCAGGGGAUCGCAAGCCCUUGUGCUACUAGAGCGGCCGAUGGCAGAUUAGGUAGUUGGUGGGAUAAAAGCUUACCAAGCCGACGAUCUGUAGCUGGUCUGAGAGGCCGAUCAGCCAACCUGGGCCUGAGACACGGCCCAGACUCCUACGGGAGGCAUCAGUGGGAAGUUUAGGACAAUGGGCGAAAGCCUGAGCCAGCAAUGCCUCGUGCAGGAUGAAGGCCUUCGGGUUGUAAACUGCUUUUGUACGGAACGAAAAGCUCUGGGUUAAUACCCUGGGGUCAUGACGGUACCGUAAGAAUAAGCACCGGCUAACUACGUGCCAGCAGCCGCCGUAAAAC
rnacentral:rRNA from 1 species